CAACACUGUGCUCGAAGUGACAGCGGGCAAGCCACCACGGUAUUCCUUCUCUCCUUCCCGAAACUCAGUAAGUGCGUGUUGUAACCACGCCCUGAAACUACUCCUGGCGGACGUGGGAGUGCACAGAACCAACGAUCCUUGAUUGACCCCUCAUCAGCUCAACAUCAUCACAACACAACGGCCAUGCAUCACAAAUGGAACAUGCACGUUUUCAUAUCAAAGACAUUUAUUUCGAGAAACCCCCAAAACAUAUGAUCUCAAAAUAAAUAGCUUAUUUUUUAAAAUCUAA